rnacentral:rRNA from 1 species
GGUUAAGCGACUAAGCGUACACGGUGGAUGCCCUGGCAGUCAGAGGCGAUGAAGGACGUGCUAAUCUGCGAUAAGCGUCGGUAAGGUGAUAUGAACCGUUAUAACCGGCGAUUUCCGAAUGGGGAAACCCAGUGUGAUUCGUCACACUAUCAUUAACUGAAUCCAUAGGUUAAUGAGGCGAACCGGGGGAACUGAAACAUCUAAGUACCCCGAGGAAAAGAAAUCAACCGAGAUUCCCCCAGUAGCGGCGAGCGAACGGGGAGCAGCCCAGAGCCUGAAUCAGUGUGUGUGUUAGUGGAAGCGUCUGGAAAGGCGCGCGAUACAGGGUGACAGCCCCGUACACAAAAAUGCACAUACUGUGAGCUCGAUGAGUAGGGCGGGACACGUGGUAUCCUGUCUGAAUAUGGGGGGACCAUCCUCCAAGGCUAAAUACUCCUGACUGACCGAUAGUGAACCAGUACCGUGAGGGAAAGGCGAAAAGAACCCCGGCGAGGGGAGUGAAAAAGAACCUGAAACCGUGUACGUACAAGCAGUGGGAGCCUCUUAAUGGGGUGACUGCGUACCUUUUGUAUAAUGGGUCAGCGACUUAUAUUCUGUAGCAAGGUUAACCGAAUAGGGGAGCCGAAGGGAAACCGAGUCUUAACUGGGCGUUAAGUUGCAGGGUAUAGACCCGAAACCCGGUGAUCUAGCCAUGGGCAGGUUGAAGGUUGGGUAACACUAACUGGAGGACCGAACCGACUAAUGUUGAAAAAUUAGCGGAUGACUUGUGGCUGGGGGUGAAAGGCCAAUCAAACCGGGAGAUAGCUGGUUCUCCCCGAAAGCUAUUUAGGUAGCGCCUCGUGAAUUCAUCUCCGGGGGUAGAGCACUGUUUCGGCAAGGGGGUCAUCCCGACUUACCAACCCGAUGCAAACUGCGAAUACCGGAGAAUGUUAUCACGGGAGACACACGGCGGGUGCUAACGUCCGUCGUGAAGAGGGAAACAACCCAGACCGCCAGCUAAGGUCCCAAAGUCAUGGUUAAGUGGGAAACGAUGUGGGAAGGCCCAGACAGCCAGGAUGUUGGCUUAGAAGCAGCCAUCAUUUAAAGAAAGCGUAAUAGCUCACUGGUCGAGUCGGCCUGCGCGGAAGAUGUAACGGGGCUAAACCAUGCACCGAAGCUGCGGCAGCGACGCUUAUGCGUUGUUGGGUAGGGGAGCGUUCUGUAAGCCUGCGAAGGUGUGCUGUGAGGCAUGCUGGAGGUAUCAGAAGUGCGAAUGCUGACAUAAGUAACGAUAAAGCGGGUGAAAAGCCCGCUCGCCGGAAGACCAAGGGUUCCUGUCCAACGUUAAUCGGGGCAGGGUGAGUCGACCCCUAAGGCGAGGCCGAAAGGCGUAGUCGAUGGGAAACAGGUUAAUAUUCCUGUACUUGGUGUUACUGCGAAGGGGGGACGGAGAAGGCUAUGUUGGCCGGGCGACGGUUGUCCCGGUUUAAGCGUGUAGGCUGGUUUUCCAGGCAAAUCCGGAAAAUCAAGGCUGAGGCGUGAUGACGAGGCACUACGGUGCUGAAGCAACAAAUGCCCUGCUUCCAGGAAAAGCCUCUAAGCAUCAGGUAACAUCAAAUCGUACCCCAAACCGACACAGGUGGUCAGGUAGAGAAUACCAAGGCGCUUGAGAGAACUCGGGUGAAGGAACUAGGCAAAAUGGUGCCGUAACUUCGGGAGAAGGCACGCUGAUAUGUAGGUGAAGUCCCUUGCGGAUGGAGCUGAAAUCAGUCGAAGAUACCAGCUGGCUGCAACUGUUUAUUAAAAACACAGCACUGUGCAAACACGAAAGUGGACGUAUACGGUGUGACGCCUGCCCGGUGCCGGAAGGUUAAUUGAUGGGGUUAGCGGUAACGCGAAGCUCUUGAUCGAAGCCCCGGUAAACGGCGGCCGUAACUAUAACGGUCCUAAGGUAGCGAAAUUCCUUGUCGGGUAAGUUCCGACCUGCACGAAUGGCGUAAUGAUGGCCGGGCUGUCUCCACCCGAGACUCAGUGAAAUUGAACUCGCUGUGAAGAUGCAGUGUACCCGCGGCAAGACGGAAAGACCCCGUGAACCUUUACUAUAGCUUGACACUGAACAUUGAGCCUUGAUGUGUAGGAUAGGUGGGAGGCUUUGAAGUGUGGACGCCAGUCUGCAUGGAGCCGACCUUGAAAUACCACCCUUUAAUGUUUGAUGUUCUAACGUUGGCCCCUAAUCGGGGUUGCGGACAGUGUCUGGUGGGUAGUUUGACUGGGGCGGUCUCCUCCUAAAGAGUAACGGAGGAGCACGAAGGUUGGCUAAUCCUGGUCGGACAUCAGGAGGUUAGUGCAAUGGCAUAAGCCAGCUUGACUGCGAGCGUGACGGCGCGAGCAGGUGCGAAAGCAGGUCAUAGUGAUCCGGUGGUUCUGAAUGGAAGGGCCAUCGCUCAACGGAUAAAAGGUACUCCGGGGAUAACAGGCUGAUACCGCCCAAGAGUUCAUAUCGACGGCGGUGUUUGGCACCUCGAUGUCGGCUCAUCACAUCCUGGGGCUGAAGUAGGUCCCAAGGGUAUGGCUGUUCGCCAUUUAAAGUGGUACGCGAGCUGGGUUUAGAACGUCGUGAGACAGUUCGGUCCCUAUCUGCCGUGGGCGCUGGAGAACUGAGGGGGCUGCUCCUAGUACGAGAGGACCGGAGUGGACGCAUCACUGGUGUUCGGGUUGUCAUGCCAAUGGCACUGCCCGGUAGCUAAAUGCGGAAGAGAUAAGUGCUGAAAGCAUCUAAGCACGAAACUUGCCCCGAGAUGAGUUCUCCCUGACUCCCUGAGAGUCCUGAAGGAACGUUGAAGACGACGACGUUGAUAGGCCGGGUGUGUAAGCGCAGCGAUGCGUUGAGCUAACCGGUACUAAUGAACCGUGAGGCUUAACCUU